GAUUAUAAUCGCAGCUUAGGCAAGUAAUUGACUAUCUGGGAUGUAUUUUGCUGCUUUACUUCGUGUUAUGAAUAUCAAUCGACUUUAACCUGACGUUUGUUAAGAGGUUAGCGUACUCUAAAGCUUUCAUGAGUGUAUCAAUUAUUCAAAAAACUAAGGGUCUCUUAUAUUUAAAGUGACAUGUUGCAUUUCAAGUGACAGUUCAAUUUCCUGGUUUUGUUGGGUCUUGGGACCUCAACUUGUCCUUCAUUUCUGGUAACUUGGAAUCAGAGGGGGGGCAUUAAAGGGCAUGCACUACAUCAUUCUAGCUUAUAUAUGAGGUCAUUAAAAAUUCAAUAUUCUACGGAGCUGAGAAAUAGAGAGUGAGAGACUAACCUUGAUAGAGCCAAUUCAUAUGAUCUCACCUCCAUUACUCCGAGCUCACUUGAUAGAUGAAAUCAAGUUCUUGGAGUAGAAGCGUUUUCAAUAUUUUUCCGGAGCCAGAACUUGCAUGUUUGAUUGAGCCAAAUCAAUUUUUAUUUGUAUUUAGCAUCACACAUGGUGUUAGGAUGACAUGUCUGAAACAUGUGAUAGGAUUAAUAAAUUGCACAUGUUGUAGUCUGGAAUUUUUUCUCUGAAUUUCAAGACUCAUAGCAUAAUACUAUGCUUCUAAUGUUAGCCAUCUUAUGACUUUUGAAGUUCUCAUGCUAAAAAAGGGAUAUGGCAGUUCUCAGUUGCAGCUGUUACUUGUUCCUUUACUGUUAUUGUGUAUUCCUUUCUUGCAUGGUUCUUGUUAUAAUUUUAAGAUAGAGAAAUCCACAAAUAUUUGCCACUAUUUUAGUGCUAUCAAUUUAAUAUAUAUACAGGUGCAUGUUGAGAGCGGUUUGGUGCGUGGGAGGGUUACGGAACAGCGCGACGGCACGACCGCAGGCCUAGGAACGCUGGUCUUGCUUCAUGUGGACAGGAGCAGGUAUCAGAGUGUGAACCAUAUGGGGAUUGGAGUUGUUAUUCGCAAUGCAGGUGGCAAUUGGGUCUCCGGGGUUUCUGGAAGCACUGGGCAUGCAUGGCAAUGCUUUUCUUGCAAAAAUCCUAGCUGUAGAGAAACGGUUGCAGCUUGGUUGGGAUAUGGGGCAUAAAAUGGUGUUAUGCUUUUCAGAUUGCAGGGGCGUUGUGCGUGUGCCUACCAAUUAAUAUGGGUAUCACACGCAAAACAUGUGGGUACCACAGAAUUCACCCUUUUUUUUCAGAAUUCUCUAUCAUUAAUAGGUUGUACUUGUGCUCAGGGAUUAAAAAUGUGCAAUCAAGUCUAUUAUUUGAAUCUUUGGAAAAAACG